GACGAACGCUGGCGGCGUGCUUAACACAUGCAAGUCGAACGGAAAGGCCCUGCUUUUGUGGGGUUCUCGAUUGGGGAACGGGUGAGUAAAACGUGAGUAACCUGCCCUUGACUGUGGGAUAACAUCAGGAAACUGGGGCGAAUACCGGAUAGGAGCUCCUGCUGCAUGUUGGGGGUUGGAAAGAUUCGGCGGUGGGGGAUGGACUCGCGGCUUAUCAGCUUGUUUGUGAGGUAGUGGCUUACCAAGGCUUUGACGGGUAGCCGGCCUGAGAGGGUGACCGGCCACAUUGGGACUGAGAUACGGACCAGACUCCUACGGGCGGCAGCAGGGGGGAAUAUUGCACAAUGGGCGCAAGCCAGAUGCAGCAACGCCGCGUGCGGGAUGACGGCCUUCGGGUUGUAAACCGCUUUCGCCUGUGACGAGGCGUGAGUGACGGUAACGGGUAAAGAAGCACCGGCUAACUACGUG
rnacentral:rRNA from 1 species